GUUUAUCUCUAUUACCUUUAGAGGUGUUAUAUGAACAUUCUGGCAAUUUAUGGAUUUAUGAUCCCAAGUUAUUCUUAUUUUGUGCAGCACAAAGUAAAAGGGGCAUAUGCAGUGCACAUGCACAAGUUCUACAUGGAAGAAAGGACUUAUGUAUCAAAGUAAACCUGAUGAACCAAUUAAGCAUCUAGAUGUUAUCCCGCGCCAUGCAAGGUUCUGAUAGAAUUCCUGCACCCUUCUGGAUACUUCACUUUCAUCCAUUAGCACAAAAUGUGAUAUUCUGUUACCUCAUAUUUGCAAGUAUCCUGUCUUUCAUUUCAAUCAAGUAUAAUGUUGGUAUAUUUCAUGACUCACCCAUGUUAAUUUAGCUACUGUUAUUUUAGCAAUUCAAUGCAGAAAGGGGCAACUUUUCCUAAAUAUUAUAUCUUGAAUUGAUUUUGAUUGGUAUUUCUCUAUAUUUCCAGCAUUUGGACAUAGAAUGUCAUUGAUUGGUUUAUUUUCAAGUGACUAAAACAUUUCAAAUUACUCCUUACAUCUUAUCAAAGUUAGUAAUCUUUUCUACAAAUUAAAAACAAAAAUAAAUGAAAAUGUGAUGUGUAAUGUAGUAUAUACAGAAGAUGACUUUUUCUUGCUCCCUUUAAGUUGCAACUAAUCAGAAACA